CCUACGGGAGGCAGCAGUGGGGAAUUUUCCGCAAUGGGCGAAAGCCUGACGGAGCAAUACCGCGUGAGGGAGGAAGGCUCUUGGGUCGUAAACCUCUUUUCUCAGGGAAGAACACAAUGACGGUACCUGAGGAAUAAGCAUCGGCUAACUCCGUGCCAGCAGCCGCGGUAAUACGGAGGAUGCAAGCGUUAUCCGGAAUGAUUGGGCGUAAAGCGUCCGCAGGUGGCAAUGUAAGUCUGCUGUUAAAGAGUGAGGCUCAACCUCAUAAGAGCAGUGGAAACUACAUAGCUAGAGUACGUUCGGGGCAGAGGGAAUUCCUGGUGUAGCGGUGAAAUGCGUAGAGAUCAGGAAGAACACCGGUGGCGAAGGCGCUCUGCUAGGCCGUAACUGACACUGAGGGACGAAAGCUAGGGGAGCGAAUGGGAUUAGAUACCCCAGUAGUCCUAGCCGUAAACGAUGGAUACUAGGCGUGGCUUGUAUCGACCCGAGCCGUGCCGUAGCUAACGCGUUAAGUAUCCCGCUGGGGAUCGCCGGCAACGGUGAACUCAAAUGAAUUGACCGGNNGAGAGNGCGAGACGACGACGAGGGAGAGG
rnacentral:rRNA from 1 species